rnacentral:lncRNA from 1 species
AGUGCACCUCCCGCCGUAGCCUGAGAGGGAUCGGCCCGAUUGGCCACGCUCCUUCAAACCACCACUUUCCCCCGAAAAAGGGACGAAAGCCUCAGGUCCCCAAACGAGCGCUCCCUCGCCCAGAGACCCCGGCUUGCACACCCCGCCCUGUUCCCCGCGGCGCGGGAGGAGAGGCCGCCCCACACAGGAAGUGUGUCCUGCGCCGGGACCUUGCGCCCAACCCGCCGGUCACUGAUUCUACUACCAUCUGUCAGCGUGGAUUGAUUGAGGAGACUGGCCCUGCUCGGCAGAUCAGUGACUUGUGCGAAGUGAGCCAGGGUGUCGGUGCCUUCAGAGCAGGCGGAUGUCCUUCCUCACUUGCCAGCUCUCAUGGGGCCACUGAGGUGCAAAGAGUUUAACUUAUCCCAAGUCACACAGUUUGGAAGAGGCUGAGCUGGUAUUUGAACCCAGGUUUUCAGAGGCUGCACUCUUAACCACCAAGCUUCCCAGCACUCAGCAAACACUGGAAAGACAGAGAUGGACCUAGACAGUCAGUAGGACCAAAAGUCUGCAGGCCGAUAGGGAAAGAAUGUAAGAGGACGGCAUGGGCAGCGCCAGCCCCUCCAGCAGUCAUAUAUUAAGCCCUGGACACUGGGCAGCUCGGGCAGGUCGGGGGGCCUCAGACUCUCGGACCCCAUGCCUGGAAGACCACGGUCUGCCCAACAAGCAGCAGCUGCUGUGAAUCGACUUACACAUCUUCCCCACAGGUGAGCAGAGAGCUAACACCUGAGGAUAGGCCAAGAAACGGGAAGCCCGUGCAACCUGAGCGCACAGAUCACCCCCACCUGCCCGGCACUCACUGUCCCCAGUGGCUGGACUCUCAUCGGGCCAGUCACUGAGCUGGCGCCAGCCUGGUCUCACCAGUGUGUGUCUUUAAAUCAUCCAAUUUCUUCAGCUGUAAAUUGGGCUGGGAGGGGCCAGGUGAGCUGCCUGCCUCAGGGGAGUCGGCGCCCUUACCUGAGUGAUCCCAUUCACUCCUCACAACAAACCCAUGAGGCAGGGAUUGUCAUCUUCAUUGUACAGAGCAGGAAAUGGGUGCACACAGAGGUUAAGAGACUUGCCCAGGUCACACAGCUAGGAAGAGGCUGUGAUUUGAACUCAGUCUUCUGGCUCCAAAGCCCCCACAGAGUCACUCAGGGCACUACAAAGAGUUAACCUGAAUAUGAAAUGAUCUAAGAGUCGCAGUGACAAAGGCAUGCUCUAAGCGCUUUUCCUGCAGUAACUUGCUUAAUCCUUACAACAACCCUAUAAAGUGGGUACUGUUCUCGCCUCAUUUUGCAGAUGAGGAAACUGAGGCACAGAGCAGCUCGGAGGGGGCAGAGCUGAAUCUGACAGGCUACAGGGCCCCUGCGUUGCUUUGUUAUAAGAUGACAAUAAGGAAGUUCCUUUCCUUUGGGAUUAUUUCUGCCUGAAAGCUCAAGACUUUUAGCCACAUCAUUGUCUGGGCUCCACGGGAAGGCAGUGCCACAUGCUGAGGCAUGCUGGGAAAAGACUUUGUUCCAUCCUGUUUUGUUGACAUGCUCUUCAUUUUUAAGCCUGAAACCGAAGCUUCCUGCUAAGAAUUCAAACCAUGGAGAAAAACGCAGCCAUGAUAACGGCCACUACUUCCUGAGCCUCCAGUGUUCCCUGUGCUUGGGGAUCCAUAUAUGUCACUUAACCUUAACCUUCACAACACCAGGGCAGCCUCCAUUUUCACAAGUGAAGAAAUGGAGGCCCAGAGUCACUUAGAAGAUGCUCGAAGGUGCACAGCUGCUAAGUGGUGGUGCUGGGAUUUGUCCUCAGGUCCUCAAGAGUCCUGACUCUUAUGUGCUGGCUCCCCACGGAGGCGUGGAGUCUUGUUUGCUGGGCAUUUGACAGAAAUGUUUCUGCUCAUCUUCUGCCACAGGUUGGUCCUUCAGCGUCAAGAUUCCUGGGCCACUUAUUAAUAGAAGGCACCAGGACACAGGUGCAGGGAUGCAGAGCUGGAUGCUGCCUUCUCAAUAGGAGAAGCCAAGAAACGCAGAUGCCGAUGCUUAAUCAACUCCGUCUCUCCCUCUAGUGACUCGGGGAUAGCUGCCCUGAUGCCAAGGCGAUUGUCUUCUGGAAGCAGCCACGCCGUGUGAGGUUCCUCAUCACUGCCCUGCAUCUCCCUGCGAGCUCUCGGGGAUAAUUGCAAAAUCACGUUUGAUUCCAGGGGAGCAGAAAGCAGCAGGAGCCGUGAAUUCUCCAACUCUUAACUGGUCCUCGACUGGAGCCACUUUUCCCUGCCCACCCAUCCCUGUGGCGGAUUCAUUACAGUUAUCCAAAGCCGGUUUUAACUUUGCUCCCCCUGGCUCAGAAGUCUGUCAGUGGGUCCUGAGCGGCUUCACCAUUCAAGUUUAUUCCUAUCAGCCUGGAAUACAAUGCUCUAUCUGGCUCCGCUUGCUUCUCCAAACCUUCUCUCCCAGGUCUCAUUCUGCCUCUCUGUCUAACUAGACAAGUUGGCUUCCUGUCCUGUGCCUGUCUGCUCCCUGCAGCAGGAAUGCCGUUCCCUCUUCCCUACAGAUUGAAAUUAUAUCCUCUUUCAAGUCUUACUCAAAUGCCACCUCCUCCACAAACUCUUAACACUUAUUCAUUCAUUCAACAAACAUUGACUGAGCCCUUAUGACAAGCAUUGAUCCCAAGGGUCCCUGUGGUCAUGAAGUUUAUGGUGCCAUGGAGCUGUUAGAAAAAGAAUCAUCACAUAAAUAAUCAUCUGAUAACAGCCAUGAUACAAAUUAGUAAGAAAGUGUGGCAGGAGCACAGCAGAUGUACAAUAGGGACCCUGAGCCUUGGGGAUCUAGGACAUUUGAGCUGAGGCCUGAAAGACAAGUAGGAAGUAACCACAUGGUGAAGUUGGAGGAGAGCUCCAGGCAGAGGGCACGGCAUGGGCAAAGGCCCUGCGGUAGGAGGGAACAAGUAGAUUUCCAGGAAGGGCACAGGGGCCUGCAGGGUAAUGUAAGUGAAAUGAGAAAGCUGGAGAUGCAGCUGGAGCAGGACAGUACAGGCCACAGAGGCUUUGCGACUUUAUCCCUGGGCAAAAAGAGGAGAUGAUGAAGGAUUCUGAGCACAGGACACAAGCCAGUAUGUAUUUAGACGCGAUCCUGCCCUGUGGCUGAGCCUCUUCUGAGAAGUGCAGGCCCUGUGUCACGUCACCCUGAACCUCAGUCAUCAGGGUUUUGGAUGUGAGUUUCCAUAUCCCUCUUCCUAGGCCAAGCUCUCAAAGGCAAGGCUGACCUCUGGUCUUCAGCUUCAUCCUCAUCAGCCAGGCCAGUGCCCAGCACAAGGAGCUGCUCCAAAAACAUACGUGGGUUGAACCAGUGACCAGGACAAGACGCUUAUCAGCAUUUCCCUGCGAAGGAGCAGGGCUGCCUGUAAAGCCUUCCACAUUCUCUAGAAAUUACAAAGUUCAAGGGUUUUAGUGAGGCCACGACUCAGGGAGCCCUUGAGAGCCAAGCUGGCAUCCCACUGCUGUGCACACCCAGCCUGGGCACACAGUAUGACCCUGCCCAGGCAUCUGCCUGCGGCCGUCUGGUGAAUGACCAGAAACAGAACCGAAAGCUCUGUAAAGUGCUCUCAAGGUUACAAAGCAUGUUUCACAGGAGCAGUUUCAUCUCACACGGGCAGCCCUCUGAGCUGGGUAGUUACUGCUUUACAGAUGAGGAAACUGAGGCCCGGGAGAGGGCGGGACCUCAGCAAAUCAAGAAAAAACUGAGACUAGGACCUAACGGAAGUCCAGGCUAUGAAUGGCCCCCGUAGGGUUAAAAGAGCUUUCUAGAAAUUUCUUUGAAAACUAUUGUAAAGUGACAUAUUUCCUCAGGAUGUCUGUCACGCCAGCAGUGGGAGCCAACACACCAACUCUCAGAGGCUGUUCCCCCUGCGCGGCAGAUCCAGACGCUCAGCUCCCAGGCCUGGAGGCUGGCGGCUUAGCCCAGGGCACAGGAGGAGGCUGCCUGGGUUUGGCGCUGACUUACAGCAGGUGCUGAGGGAAUGCUGAGGAGAGGCAAGGCUGAUUCAAGAGGCCGACAACAGAGAACAUUCCUAGAGCUCUCCCGCCAGCUAGGCAUGGUGCUAAGUGCAUUACCUGCGUCCACUCGUAACAUCCUCACAACACUGUGAAUACGAUGACCAUCCCCAUGUACAGGCGUGGACGCUAAGGCUCAGAGCAAUAAAUAAUUAGCCUGAGAUCACACGGCAGGUGAGUGCAGAGGCCGGAUCUGAACCCACACAUUGCCCUUAAGCAACCCCAUGUCCUGAGCAAAGGUGAGCAGAAACAUCUUGGGAAGAGGGAACCACGACUGUAUCUUCCUCAGCAGACAUGAUGGUGCAGGGUACCCCUUCCCCUGCCCACCUGACGACCAUUAUUCCCAUUAUCAGUAUAUCCCUCUGUGGGCAAAUGAUGACAGACAUGCAUGGUAACCACUUCUUCACAAGUUUUGUGUCUCCCCAGCCUCCUCCCCUAGGGCUCUCUAGGCUUCCUUUACCCGUCCUGCCUCAGAUGGACUCCCAGCAUCAUCAUCUGCCUCUGUGCCUUCUUGGUAGUAGGUGGGUGUGAAAAAGAAAGGAAGGGCCAGGUGCAGUGGCUCAUACCUGUAGUCCCAGCACUUUGGGAGGCUGAGGCGGGCGGAUCACCUGAGGUCAGGAGUUCGAAACCAGCCUGGCCAACAUGGUGAAACCCUAUCUCUGGUGGCAGGUGCCUGUAAUCCCAGCUACUUGGAAGGCUGAGGCUGGAGAAUCACUUGAACCUGGGAGGCAGAGGUUGCAGUGAGCAGAGAUUGCGCCACUGCACUCCAGUCUGGGCAACAGAGCGACUCCCUCUCAAUAAAUAAAAUAAAAUAAGGAAGGACAGAGGGCAAUGUGACCUUCGGCAAGCUCCCUAAGCUCCUGAAGCCUCAGCCUUUUCACCCGUAGAACAGGGACAUUAACAUCACCCCCGAGUGAGGGCUGCAGGCACACAGUGACUGCGCUUCUCAGUGCCACAAGUGCUGUUGCCAUCAUUCCAGCCUCAGGUGCUCCGUGAGGUGGGACGAUUCACCCCAUGAGCAAACAGGCUCAGGGAGGUGUGGUGCCUACAGUCACCCAGCAGACACAGCGGAGCAAGGAGGAAGCCACACCUGUUGGAUCCCAAAGCUUCUGCUGAGGGGAGGAGGGAGAGUGAAUGAGCCACUGGGGGCCUCCGUGGCAAUCGGGCUCACAAAGCCAUGUGUGGGCUGGAUGUGGCUCCCCAGCCCCGUAGACACCACCCCAGGUGCUCCUCACAGGUGAUGGGGUGUGUUGUCUAUGGGGCUCUUGUGCCCUCUGGGGGCCUCUGGGGAGCUGCUACUGGGCUGGGCCCUCUCGGUCCCUGAGCCUAGACCAGGUGAGUUACUAGCAGGGACAGGAGGAGAAAUGGGAAAGCUAGGCAAGAGGUCACUCAUCUGUGGGCUGAGUGCAGAAUGGGAGGGAAGAAAGCAUCCUUUCUGGAAAAAUCAAUGGGCAGAUGAUACCGCCCAAGUCACUACCUACAUGGAAACCUUCCAAGAAAACCAAAGCAACAAGAGAAUCACAGCCCCUUAGAGCAGUGGCGGGCCUGAGAGGUGAACAGACCCAAGUCCGCCUCACACAGCUAGGGAAAUCGAAGUCCAGGAUGGUGGUCACAACUCGCUCAAGGCCCCACGGUGUGUAGGUGACUCCGCCACGUAUGAGGGGCGUCCAGCCCCAGGCAGCUCAUUUACAGUGGUGGGUGGGCCUUUGUGGUCUCCAUGCCUCACACUCCAGCCAUCCACUUCCCUCUGUUCUUGCCUUUGCUAAGCAAGGGGACUGGUUUAGCUUCACCCAGAAACUACCAAAUCUCUGGGGCUUUUCCCUGCACACUUUUAGUUUCUAGGCUGCCCUGGCCCCUGCUCUGCCCCUACAUGUGGCUCAGGGUGGGGAGAGACUAUUAAGCUAAUACAUAGUUAGGCAACUAGAACACAGCCUGCAAAUCUCGCAGUCAGUGCUCCUCAGUCUUGGCUAUUAUUACCAGACACGAUGACCAUCUCCAUUUUACAACUAGGGAAACUGAGGCUCAGAUGGAUUGAGUGAUUAGACCCCAGACACUAGGUGCUAGAGCCUUUGCUCUCUGGAGUUAUCUUUUUUUAAGCUAACAAUUAUUCAGUGCCCCCUGGGAGCCAGGCUCUGGCUGACUGCUUUGUGAGAAUGAUCUCAUGUAAUCCUCACCUCAGCCCUGUGAUGUAGGUAUUAUUAUUACCCAAGAACACAAAGACUCACAGAGGGCAGGUAACUUCCUUGAAGCCACACAGCUAGGAAAUGGGAGAGCCAGGAUUGAACCCAGGCAGUCUGGCCUCAGGACGUUGGCCACCCCUCUGUGCUGCCAUCUCCGUUGGGGAUAGGUCUGGGGGACUAGCCACCCCAGUCUCCCACAGGAGCCUCCAGUCAUCUCGGGGUCCCAGGCUGGAGGAGCUGCUCCUGAACCCUUCACCCCUUGAUCGGCAUCCAAACUGCUUCCCGCCAAUUUGGUUCCAGCUCAGAAUGUGGCCUGGGCUGGUCCUGAGACUCCAAAUUAAAAGAAGACCCAAGCUGGUCUUUAAAUUCAAAUCUGAGGCCAUCUGGGAAUCCCAGCACAAGGCAGCCUGAGAGAGGCUGGCUUGGGAGCAGCUAGAACAAGCCAGCUUUGCAAGAUCCUGAAAACGGGUCCAAAGAAGGCGAGUUUGCAAUGACUGCGGUGUCCAUGUGGCACCGCCCAGUCUGUCAUCAGGUCAGGUUCUCCCUUCCUCCACAAGUGGCUCCCCCAGCCAGUGAAACAAGGGCCCCACUUCCACUGUCGCCGCCUCUCCCCACUCUUCCCUUCCAACGGCUUCAGCCACAGAGUGCAACCCGCCUCUUACACCUUGGAUGCGCUGUUCUUGCACUUCCCUCUGAUGGUACACCCUCUCCUGCCUUAGCACGGCAAACUCCUACUCACUCUUCAAGGCCUUCAAAUGCCACCUCCUCUGUGAAGCCUCUCUUGAUUUCCCUGUCAGACCUCACAGGGGUACUCAGGGAAAAGAUUUCUGUGGGGAAAAAACCCCUUGGGGUGAGUUUGCCCAAAGGAAGUGAGCCCAUCACACCGUCUAGGACAUGGGGAGAGGGCAGCUGUUCCAUCCUGGUGGUCCCACUUCCUGGGGGGUCUGAGUCUGGGUGUGUUCCUCUGAGCUCUAGGAACAGGGCUCCUCUAUGCCCAGCUCUGGGCAGGUGCCAGGAGUGCAGAGGGGAGGCCUUAAGUGUCCCUGUAACCAAGGAUGGUCACCCAGGCUCUGCACCCAAAGGCCUAACAGGGAGACAGACCCACGUCUGUGUGGUCAGGACUGUGAGAGGGCAAAGAAGGUGGGCCAGGCACAGGACCCAAGUCCACCUGAGAGAAGGACAGGGAAGGCUUCCUGGAGGAAGUGAAUUGAGACCAGAAGACUUGACCAGAAAAGAGGAGGUGGUGACGUCAGGUUAGGGACCAGCUCCAGGGGAAGGGAGACUGGAAGGAGAGCCACAGCCUUCCCCUGACCUUCUGCCUGUAGAUGGUUCCUGCCCUGGCUUCUCAGCUUAGAACUCACAGUCUCUGCUAGGGCCUGAGCUACGGCCUGGCCCUGGUAAAACUCACUCCACCAUGCCCUCUCUGGAGGCCUGCUGUAAACACACUGACCACCUGCGCCCAUGUCACUGCACCUGCCUGAGCCCUGUGGCAGCCCAGAGACUUGUACCAUGGCCGCUUCCUGGCCCAGGGCAGGCUCAAGCUCCCUUGCCCUCAUGGGCCCGUCAGAGGAGUCAAGGUCCAGGAGGCUGUGCUAACAGCCCCUGGCUGCAGAGCUGUUUGCCAACCUCCAGGCCAGCCAGGCCAGCACUGUAGCCGGGGGAGCGCCCAGCCCUGGCCUUCGUUCUGCAAAGCCCCAUCCCAGCCUCGGUCCCAGGUUCUCGGUCUCUGGUCACGCUUGGGAAGCAGCUGCGGGCAGAAGUAGCCUUCAGAGACCUCAGGCUGCCCAGGCUAAGAGAAUGAUGGAACGGUGACCCUGGCUGGGGGCAGAGACCUGGGAGGGAGGCCGGAGAGCUGGGACAGCGCCUGGGGGUUGGGAGAGCUGCCCAGGCCUCCUCCGGGGUGAGCUGAGGAGGGGCUGCCAUGCCUGGGAGGAGGGGGCCGGCUCCUCCUGCCUCGCCGGCCUGUCUGUCUCCAGCUCUUCACUGUAAAAUAAAUGCAAGAAGCACACGCCAGAUAGAAAAAAAGGGAGGGCCAAAUAAAGCCCCACGCCGCCCAGCACGGGCUCCCUCCGUGGGUCUGGGCCAGGGCCUCGGCCUGGGUUACUUGCUGCUCCUUUUCCCGGGAAACCACUGGUGCCAAAUUUGCAUUUACCACAAACAGAGACAACACAAUGUCAUAAUCCUUCUCCUGUCAUUCUCCGCUCUCUUCCUCCUCCCACCUCAGACACACACACGCUAACACAAAAUGACGGCUCCCUCGACAGCCUGAAUGAGCAAAGCCCUCGAUCUGCCUCUUCAUUGUUGGCGUUUCUCUCGGCCCUCGCUCCGUGCCCAUCGCCCAACUCGCAGCAGACCACCCACUGCCCCUCCUUUGUCCCGCAUCACCACUGACAAAUGGCCUGCUGGAGGUGGAAGAACAUGCCUGGAAAUAGUGGAGGGGGGGAGAGGGAGCAGCCAGCCCCAACCCCCCGCCGCUCUGCACCCUCACACCCGGGCUGGCUGCGCACGGCGGCUGGAUCUGGACCGGAGGGGACGGGGGCGCGG